rnacentral:rRNA from 1 species
UACAGAGGGUGCAAGCGUUGUUCGGAAUUAUUGGGCGUAAAGCGCGUGUAGGCGGCAGUGCAAGUCGGGUGUGAAAGCCCUCAGCUCAACUGAGGAAGUGCGCCCGAAACUGCAUUGCUUGAGUACCGGAGAGGAUGGCGGAAUUCCCGAAGUAGAGGUGAAAUUCGUAGAUAUCGGGAGGAACACCGGUGGCGAAGGCGGCCAUCUGGACGGAUACUGACGCUGAGACGCGAAAGCGUGGG